UCGAGCGGACAGAAGGGAGCUUGCUCCCGGAUGUUAGCGGCGGACGGGUGAGUAACACGUGGGUAACCUGCCUGUAAGACUGGGAUAACUCCGGGAAACCGGAGCUAAUACCGGAUAGUUCCUUGAACCGCAUGGUUCAAGGAUGAAAGACGGUUUCGGCUGUCACUUACAGAUGGACCCGCGGCGCAUUAGCUAGUUGGUGAGGUAACGGCUCACCAAGGCGACGAUGCGUAGCCGACCUGAGAGGGUGAUCGGCCACACUGGGACUGAGACACGGCCCAGACUCCUACGGGAGGCAGCAGUAGGGAAUCUUCCGCAAUGGACGAAAGUCUGACGGAGCAACGCCGCGUGAGUGAUGAAGGUUUUCGGAUCGUAAAGCUCUGUUGUUAGGGAAGAACAAGUGCAAGAGUAACUGCUUGCACCUUGACGGUACCUAACCAGAAAGCCACGGCUAACUACGUGCCAGCAGCCGCGGUAAUACGUAGGUGGCAAGCGUUGUCCGGAAUUAUUGGGCGUAAAGGGCUCGCAGGCGGUUUCUUAAGUCUGAUGUGAAAGCCCCCGGCUCAACCGGGGAGGGUCAUUGGAAACUGGGAAACUUGAGUGCAGAAGAGGAGAGUGGAAUUCCACGUGUAGCGGUGAAAUGCGUAGAGAUGUGGAGGAACACCAGUGGCGAAGGCGACUCUCUGGUCUGUAACUGACGCUGAGGAGCGAAAGCGUGGGGAGCGAACAGGAUUAGAUACCCUGGUAGUC
rnacentral:rRNA from 1 species